UGUAAGGUCCUAUGUAUACUAAAGGUACCAGAUCCCAUCUGAUCUUUGAAGCAAAACAGGGUGAGCCCUUUUUAGUACAUAGGUGGGUGAGCACCAAUAAAUACCAGAUGCCAUUGGCU
rnacentral:rRNA from 11 species